UGGUGGAGUGAUUUGUCUGGUUAAUUCCGAUAACGAACGAGACUCUGUCCUGCUAACUAGGUUGUGUUUUCUCGGGUUGGUGUUUCUGGUGUUCCUUCUCGGGGCGCCGGCCCAAUCCACUUGUGAACACAACACUCUUCUUAGAGGGACUGGCGGCUGUUAACCGCACGAGAUAGAGCAAUAACA
rnacentral:rRNA from 1 species